rnacentral:lncRNA from 1 species
AUCAUGGUUUUCCAGGUGGUUCUGGGGAAUCCCACUGAAAUUUUGUGUUGGGUUCCUAAGGUUCCCCAUGGCAAGAGGUGACAGAGUUGAUGAGAGCUGUGGAAGCUCUGCUUGGGAGCCCUCCUGAGAGGAGCAGAGCUGCAAAUCCAGGGCAGGAGCCCAAGGUCCCAGCAGAGGCUGCAGUGGGAGCUGUGCCCCCCCUGCCCAGCCUGGCCACUGAGAAGAAACCACAAGGGCAGGAUCCUGAGCUGGCUCAGCUCUGGGAGCUGUUCAGCAGCAAAGAUGCUUUUUCCAGCCUGCCUGGGCAUGAAGAGCAUGGUUCAGAUCUCCCCUUGGCUUAUCUGACUGAGCUGGAGGUGGAGGGUCUGGUGGCAGCUCCCCCCCUUGCCAAGAACCUGUGUGAGAUCAAGAAAGCUUUGGUGAAUCUGCAUCAACCCUCAGCCCUUGGCAAUUCAGACAGCAAACACCAAGCCAGCCUGGGGAGCUCAGGCCUCUUCUGAUGGAUGCCUGGGAUGGAGCCCUGCAGCUGGGAUAAAGAGGAGCUGCACUCUCAGAGCAGGGACAGGAGCAGGAGGAUUUCAUGUUCUGCACAGUAAAACAGCCACCAACUCAUUCCUGGAGGAGCUGAGCUUAUCCUGGGCCAUGGAUGAGGUUGGGCUGGGGAGGGAGGGGGUGUCUGGGACAGAGCAGCUUUACCUGAGUAUCAGAACAGACACAAAUUUAAUUAAGGAUGUGUUUGGUCAAAUAUGUGAUGACGAAUCCAUAUUCUUUUUGCUUAACCUUGACACAUUUUCAUAUUUGCUGUGGAUUAUCAGUAAUUUGUAGGCUGGAGAAGGAGGGGGAAGUUCUUAGUGUCAUUGAUUUUGUGUUUUUUGUUGUUAAGCCAAUAAAAAAAUAAACAGAAGAGCA